rnacentral:rRNA from 1 species
AUUGAACGCUGGCGGCAGGCUUAACACAUGCAAGUCGAGCGAGCGGCGGACGGGUGUGUAAUGUCUGGGAAACUGCCUGAUGGAGGGGGAUAACUACUGGAAAAGGUCGCUAAUACCGCAUACCCUCAGUUGUGCCCAGAUGGGAUUAGCUAGUAGGUGGGGUAAUGGGUCACCUAGGCGACGAUCCCUCGCUGGUCUGAGAGGAUGACCAGCCACACUGGAACUGAGAAACGGUCCAGACUCCUACGGGAGGCAGCAGUGGGGAAUAUUGCACAAUGGGCGCAAGCCUGAUGCAGCCAUGCCGCGUGUGUGAAGAAGGCCGUCGGGUUGUAAAGCACUGUCAGCGAGGAGGCGUUACUCGCAGAAGAAGCACCGGCUAACUCCGUGCCAGCCGCCGCGGUAAUAC